rnacentral:rRNA from 1 species
CAGCAGCCACGGUAAUACAGAGGGUGCGAGCGUUAAUCGGAUUUACUGGGCGUAAAGCGUGCGUAGGCGGCUUUUUAAGUCGGAUGUGAAAUCCCUGAGCUUAACUUAGGAAUUGCAUUCGAUACUGGGAAGCUAGAGUAUGGGAGAGGAUGGUAGAAUUCCAGGUGUAGCAGUGAAAUGCGUAGAGAUCUGGAGGAAUACCGAUGGCGAAGGCAGCCAUCUGGCCUAAUACUGACGCUGAGGUACGAAAGCAUGGGGAGCAAACAGGAUUAGAUACCCCGGUAGUCCCUGUCUCUUAUAC